UAGGGAAUCUUCCACAAUGGACGCAAGUCUGAUGGAGCAACGCCGCGUGAGUGAAGAAGGUUUUCGGACCGUAAAGCUCUGUUGUUGGUGAAGAAGGAUAGAGGUAGUAACUGGCCUUUAUUUGACGGUAAUCAACCAGAAAGUCACGGCUAACUACGUGCCAGCAGCCGCGGUAAUACGUAGGUGGCAAGCGUUGUCCGGAUUUAUUGGGCGUAAAGCGAGCGCAGGCGGAAGAAUAAGUCUGAUGUGAAAGCCCUCGGCUUAACCGAGGAAUUGCAUCGGAAACUGUUUUCUUGAGUGCAGAAGAGGAGAGUGGA
rnacentral:rRNA from 1 species